GGAGGGGUGGCCGAGUGGUUGAAGGCGACGGUCUUGAAAAUCGUUGUAGGCUCACGCCUACCGAGAGUUCGAAUCUCUCCCCCUCCG
rnacentral:tRNA from 1 species